AUUGCUCAGAGUGACACGACUAAACUCCUCUCAGUGCUGCACAGUGAAGGGUGCAGGUAUUGACAAUGAAGGUGGUGAAUUUGGAACAGUUUGGGAACAAAUGCACUAAGUGGGGUCCCUCAGGAAGAAAAGGUUAUAGGAUCUCUGAAAAGGCGGCCAUUGUUCAUCAUCUCCAGCAAAAUGACUUUGUAAAACUGAGAAGAAGAAAGGCAAACCACUGGACCAAUAGCAGCCCCUGAAAGUGGAGAGCACUGAUGCAUGAGUGAAAAGCGCCUUAUGUCAAAUAUAAUUGUCCUGCCCUGAAAAACAAGCUAGCGAUGUCUGAUUUGAUUCCCUCCUGUUUGGCUCAAGUUACUUCCUGUCUGCUCUAAGCAUGUUUGUCAUGACAAUGAAGUUCCUGGAGAGAUUUUGGGAUGUUCUGAUUUCUUUCUCCACCAAAGGGCUGAAUUUAAUGACCUCUCAUUUCCAGUUUUUUUUUUCUAGCUUGAAGUCAUGUUUUAUUUAAUGUCCCUGAAACUUGUUUGACUUUAAAGCAAUAGUUUGACAUCUUGGGAAAUAAACUGUAUCAAUUUGCACCUGAGAGUAGGAUCAAGUUGUUUAAUCAGUUCAAAAACCAAAGUGCAAA